rnacentral:snRNA from 1 species
AUACUUACCUGGCAGGGGAGAUACCAUGAUCAUGAAGGUGAUUUUCCUAGGACAAGGCAUAUCCAUUGCACUCUGGAGGUGCUAACUAAGCAAUGCCCCCAAAUGCGGAAACUCAACUGCAUAAUUUGAGAUAGUGGGAGACUGUGUUGCACUCUCCCCUG